rnacentral:tRNA from 1 species
GCAAUGGUGAUUCAGCGAUAGAAUGCUCGCCUUCCAUGUUGGAGACCUGGGUUCGAUUCCUGGACAAUGCA